AAUGAACGUUGGCGGCAUGGAUUAGGCAUGCAAGUCGAGCGCGAUGUGUAGCAAUACACGGAAAGCGGCGGAAGGGAGAGUAAUACGUGGGAAUCUGCCCUUAUACCUGGGAUAGCAGCGGGAAACUGCUGGUAAUACCAGAUAAUGUCUAUGGACCAAAGGUGUGAUUCCGUCUAGGGAUGAGCCCACGUCCUAUUAGCUAGUUGGUAGGGUAAUGGCCUACCAAGGCGAUGAUGGGUAGCGGGUGUGAGAGCAUGACCCGCCUCACUGGGACUGAGACACUGCCCAGACACCUACGGGUGGCUGCAGUCGAGAAUCUUCGGCAAUGGGCGCAAGCCUGACCGAGCGAUGCCGCGUGCGGGACGAAGGCCUUCGGGUUGUAAACCGCUGUCGAGGGGGAGCAACUUCCAUAGAGUUAUCUUUAUGGAUUGAGUGAUCCCUGGAGGAAGGACGGGCUAAGUUCGUGCCAGCAGCCGCGGUAAGACGAACCGUCCAAACGUUAUUCGGUAUCACUGGGCUUAAAGAGUUCGUAGGCGGCUAAACAGGUGAGGUGUGAAAGCCCUCGGCUCAACCGAGGAAUUGCGCUUCAAACCGUUUAGCUAGAGGAAGACAGAGGUGAGCGGAACUGAUGGUGGAGCGGUGAAAUGCGUUGAUAUCAUCAGGAACACCGGUGGCGAAAGCGGCUCACUGGGUCUUUUCUGACGCUGAGGAACGAAAGCUAGGGGAGCGAACGGGAUUAGAUACCCCCGGUAGUCCUAGCCGUAAACGAUGAGCACUAGACUGUGGGGACCCACACAUCCUCUCGGUCGUAGCGAAAGUGUUAA
rnacentral:rRNA from 1 species